UCAAUAGGUGUAGUUGGUUAUCACGUUUCGCUAACAUAAUCUCCUAAAAGAGAAAUGUUGUCCCGAAAAGGUCCUGAGUUCAAGCCUCAGCCUGAUCAG